rnacentral:rRNA from 1 species
GAUGAACGCUGGCGGCGUGCCUAAUACAUGCAAGUCGAGCGAACAGACGAGGAGCUUGCUCCUUUGACGUUAGCGGCGGACGGGUGAGUAACACGUAGGUAACCUACCUAUAAGACUGGGAUAACUUCGGGAAACCGGAGCUAAUACCGGAUAAUAUUUCGAACCGCAUGGUUCGAUAGUGAAAGAUGGCUUUGCUAUCACUUAUAGAUGGACCUGCGCCGUAUUAGCUAGUUGGUAAGGUAACGGCUUACCAAGGCAACGAUACGUAGCCGACCUGAGAGGGUGAUCGGCCACACUGGAACGGAGACACGGUCCAGACUCCUACGGGAGGCAGCAGUAGGGAAUCUUCCGCAAUGGGCGAAAGCCUGACGGAGCAACGCCGCGUGAGUGAUGAAGGUCUUCGGAUCGUAAAACUCUGUUAUUAGGGAAGAACAAACGUGUAAGUAACUGUGCACGUCUUGACGGUACCUAAUCAGAAAGCCACGGCUAACUACGUG